rnacentral:tmRNA from 1 species
GGGGGCGUACUGGUUUCGACCAGGUGAACACGCUGGAGGCGGCAUGCCGAGGACGAUACGUUGGCCUCGUAAAUCAUCGUAUCAAAACUAAAAAGCUAACGAAGAAUUAGCCCUCGCGGCCUAAGUGCCACGACGUUCGCCGGUGGAAACCUGCUACAUUGGAUGAACGCUAUUGCAGGCAUGGUUGAUGGCGGAGACCGCGCGCCGUUGACCGAGACUUUUCAUGCGGACUAGGCAGUGCGAAUCGCGCCCGGACGUCAUCGCAUAGCAGAAAACCUACUUCGGGCUAAGCAUGUAGUCGCGGCCGGUUGGUUGGCCUGGGACGCGGGUUCAACUCCCGCCGCCUCCACCA